GCCUGGGUGGCUCAGUCGGUUGAGCGGCCGGCUUCGACUCAGGUCAUGAUCUCACAGUUCGUGGGUUCAAGCCCCACAUCAGGCU
rnacentral:tRNA from 1 species